rnacentral:rRNA from 1 species
CCUACGGGAGGCAGCAGUAGGGAAUCUUCCACAAUGGACGAAAGUCUGAUGGAGCAACGCCGCGUGAGUGAAGAAGGUCUUCUGCUCGGAAAGCUCUGUUGGUAGGGAAGUAAGAUAUAGGUAGUAAGUGACCUUGCUUUUACGAUAAUUACUUAGACAGGCUCGGCUAACUACGUGCCAGCAGCCGCGGUCAUACGUAGGUGGCAAGCGUUGUCCGGAUUUAUUGGGCGUAAAGGGAGUGCAGGCGGUUCAUUAAGUCUGAUGUGAAAGCCUUCGGCUCAACCGGAGAAUUGCAUCAGAAACUGUUGAACUUGAGUGCAGUAGAGGAGAGUGGAAUUCCAUGUGUAGCGGUGGAAUGCGUAGAUAUAUGGAAGAACACCAGUGGCGAAGGCGGCUCACUGGACUGCAACUGACGCUGAGGCUCGAAAGCAUGGGUAGCGAACAGGAUUAGAUACCCGUGUAGUC